GUGUCAGCAGCCGCGGUAAGACAGAGGUGCCGAGCGUUAGGCGGAAUCACUGGGCUUAAAGCGUGUGUAGGCGGACUCGUAAGUGCUUUGUGAAAUCCCACGGCUCACCCGUGGAACUGCUUGGCAUACUGCGAGCCUUGAGCCACUUAGGGGCAACCGGAACAAACGGUGGAGCGGUGAAAUGCGUAGAUAUCGUUUGGAACGCCAAUGGUGAAAACAGGUUGCUGGGAGUGCGCUGACGCUGAGACACGAAAGCCAGGGGAGCGAACGGGAUUAGAUACCCCUGUAGUCC
rnacentral:rRNA from 1 species